UAGGGAAUCUUCGGCAAUGGACGAAAGUCUGACCGAGCAACGCCGCGUGAGUGAAGAAGGUUUUCGGAUCGUAAAACUCUGUUGUUAGAGAAGAACAAGGACGUUAGUAACUGAACGUCCCCUGACGGUAUCUAACCAGAAAGCCACGGCUAACUACGUGCCAGCAGCCGCGGUAAUACGUAGUUGGCAAGCGUUGUCCGGAUUUAUUGGGCGUAAAGCGAGCGCAGGCGGUUUCUUAAGUCUGAUGUGAAAGCCCCCGGCUCAACCGGGGAGGGUCAUUGGAAACUGGGAGACUUGAGUGCAGAAGAGGAGAGUGGAAUUCCAUGUGUAGCGGUGAAAUGCGUAGAUAUAUGGAGGAACACCAGUGGCGAAGGCGGCUCUCUGGUCUGUAACUGACGCUAAGGCUCGAAAGCGUGGGGAGCAAACAGG
rnacentral:rRNA from 1 species